CCUACGGGAGGCAGCAGGGGGGAAUAGUGGGCAAUGGAGGAAACCCUGACGCAGCAACGCCGCGGGAAGGAAGAAGGACGUAGGGUCGGAAACCUAUGUUGGAAAGGAAGAAAAGAAUGACGGUACUUUACAAGAAAGCUUCGGCUAACUAUGUGCCAGCAGCCGCGGUAAGACAGAGGGGGCAAGCGUUGUGCGUAAUUACUGGGCGUAAAGGGAGCGUAGGCGGGAGAUUAAGUUAAGGGUGAAAGCCUUGGGCUCAACCCGAGAAAUGCUCUUGAUACUGGUUUUCUAGAGUGUGGGAGAGGUAAGUGGAAUUCCUGGUGUAGCGGUGAAAUGCGUAGAGAUUAGGAGGAACAUCAGGGGCGAAGGCGGCUUACUGGACCAUAACUGACGCUGAGGCUCGAAAGCGUGGGGAGCAAACAGGAUUAGAUACCCCAGUAGUC
rnacentral:rRNA from 1 species